GGUAGAGUGAGCUCUAAUCCAAUAUUACUAGCUUCUUUAUAAGAAGAGGAAACUAGUAAUGUUGGAUUAGGGCUCACUCUACU
rnacentral:pre_miRNA from 2 species